ensembl:lncRNA
CUUCCUAUCUGGAGUGUUCCAGGUAUCGGCCUAUUCCUAUUCAAUAUAUAUAACUUCCUACUGUAGACACCUAAAAAGUAAGUAAGUAAGUAAGUAAGUAAGUAAGUAAGUAAGUAAGUAUGGAGUAAGAAAGUAUGCAAGUAAGUAAGUAAGUAAGUAUGGAGUAAGUAAGUAAGUAAGUAAGUAAGUAAGUAAGUAAGUAAGUAAGUAAGUAAGUAAGCAUGGAGUAAGUAAAUAUGGAGUAAGUAAGUAUGGAGUAAGUAAGUAAGUAUGGAGUAAGUAAGUAAGUAAGUAAGUAAGUAUGGAGUAAGUAAGUAUGGAGUAAGUAAGUAAGUA